rnacentral:rRNA from 1 species
GCAAGUCGAACGGUAGAGGGGGCAACCCCUUGAGAGUGGCGAACGGCUUAGUAAUAUAUCGGAACGUGCCCAGUCGUGGGGGAUAACGUAGUGAAAAUUACGCUAAUACCGCAUACGAUCUAUGGAUGAAAGCGGGGGAUCGCAAGACCUCGCGCGAUUGGAGCGGCCGAUAUCAGAUUAGGUAGUUGGUGAGGUAAAGGCUCACCAAGCCGACGAUCUGUAGCUGGUCUGAGAGGACGACCAGCCACACUGGAACUGAGACACGGUCCAGACUCCUACGGGAGGCAGCAGUGGGGAAUUUUGGACAAUGGACGCAAGUCUGAUCCAGCCAUUCCGCGUGCAGGACGAAGGCCUUCGGGUUGUAAACUGCUUUUGUACAGAACGAAAAAGUCUCUAUUAAUACUAGGGGCUCAUGACGGUACUGUAAGAAUAAGCACCGGCUAACUACGUGCCAGCAGCCGCGGUAAUACGUAGGGUGCAAGCGUUAAUCGGAAUUACUGGGCGUAAAGCGUGCGCAGGCGGUUAUAUAAGACAGAUGUGAAAUCCCCGGGCUCAACCUGGGAACUGCAUUUGUGACUGUAUAGCUGGAGUGCGGCAGAGGGGGAUGGAAUUCCGCGUGUAGCAGUGAAAUGCGUAGAUAUGCGGAGGAACACCGAUGGCGAAGGCAAUCCCCUGGGCCUGCACUGACGCUCAUGCACGAAAGCGUGGGGAGCAAACAGGAUUAGAUACCCUGGUAGUCCACGCCCUAAACGAUGUCAACUGGUUGUUGGGUCUUCACUGACUCAGUAACGAAGCUAACGCGUGAAGUUGACCGCCUGGGGAGUACGGCCGCAAGGUUGAAACUCAAAGGGAUUGACGGGGACCCGCACAAGCGGUGGAUGAUGUGGUUUAAUUCGAUGCAACGCGAAAAACCUUACCCACCUUUGACAUGUACGG